rnacentral:lncRNA from 1 species
GUCGUCUAUGAUGGCGACCUCCUAGCUCGGGUAAGUAGUACCUCCCCUCCGUGGUGCCCAAGUCAAGCCAUGGGGUUCGUCCACAAGGUCCCCUCCCCUGUCACUCUCUCAUUUGUUUCGAUUUGAUUUCGCAGGUUGUUCGUCAAGUUGGCGCUACUGUCUAGAGUAUCCCGACGACAGAGGGGGAGAACAAGGACCACCGGCGCCAAGGGCUGACUAGAACCAACACCUCCAAGCAGCCAUGGUGCUCGGAUCCCUCCCCUGGAGCGCGUCAAGGUCCUUCUUGCCCUCCUCGCAGCAUGCAUCUCUCCCACUCCCUCAACUCUUGCUGUUCGUGAUGAUAGAUCCCAGGGCUCCUUGUUUUUUUCUGUGUUUUGAGAGUAGAAAAUGUUGACACUUAGGAAUUGCCAUGGUGAUUCACGCAUAACAACAAGGAAUCCUUCCAAGAGAGCAUUGGUAUGGUGUCACAAAGGACAGCAGCAGCAGAGAGAAUAUUAACACCUCUAUCUGAAAAACAUCACUAAGUGUUAGAUUUUGGUAGAAAGACAACAUGUACGUAGCCUAAGAUCAGACCUUGUGAAGCAACAAAUAAAAAACAUUGUGAUUGGUUCAUGGUCAUGGCACAUCAACAAUGAAUACUUGCUAAUUGGUGGUCGUGGUGGUCAUUGUACAUGUUAGAUGCCCCUGGAAAACGCAAUUCUACCCUUUCUUCUGUUCUAGGUCAAUUAUCUAAAAAUCCCCAAUUUCUAGUUCUUAGUUACUGUUCAUGGCUAAAGAUUAGUGCAGGAUUCCCUCACUUGAUGCCAUGCCAUGCCAGCCUUGGGUUGAUCCUCUCUUGACAAUUCCAUUUGAUUUGUCUUGAUUCAAGGUCAAAGUGCAAAGCCGGGUCACACGCCAAUCAGGACAUAGGUGUUCUGAUUAUUUUACCAGAAGAGGUACGCUGCCCUUACCGACAUAGGUGUUCCCAAAGUACCACUAAUUGUUCCUUUAAGAACGGAACACCCAAUUUUGCAUUUACGUCCAGCGCAGUUUCUGCAUGUGUGGCAAGCACAAACAGUACGGAUAAUGGCAUUUAUUUAUAUACCUUUUUGACAAGGCAGAUUUAUGUGAUGGACAUGACCAUACAGCCAAUUAUGUUUUCUAUCUUUUCAAUGGAUGAUGGAUGCUUCUUUUCCCUUCUUGUUCUGUUCAGCAAAGUUUACUUUUGAUGCUAUUGUAGUUUCAGUUUUGGUCGCUGAAUGUGAUGAACUUUAGGGAGUCAUAACAGUAGUAAACUGAGAGUGUACAGGGAUUACUUUAGUUUUGGUGUCAAGCCAGAUUUAUGGGAUGCCUUGGACCAUAAUGCUCACUGCCAAUUAUAAGGAUGAAAACAUCCAUUUAAUUAGUUUCUGUGGUUGGUUUGUAUGUGUUGAACGUGUGUUUGUGAUUCUUUCAACCUCCGUUAGUUACCCUGCUUUCUUGUGUCUGAACAGUGGCCCGUGUUAACAUGACCAUUAAUGCUACCUUGCUCCUAGAACUGGUUCUAGCUAUUGCAUGUGUUCUCCUUAUUGAUAAUUGUAGCUAUCCUUGUUAGCACAUUUAGCUGGUUGCUCUUCUAGGAUUAUACCUACUAAAAUAGUAAUCUAAACCCUCUUAUAUUAGUUUACAGAGGGAGUACAAGUUUAAUUAGACAUAUGAUGUACUAGAUGGGAUUAUGUUAACAAAUGCCUACUGCCUCGCUUGGAUGAGUUGAUCUACACUCCUUCAUUGAUGAUUGAUUAUGACCGAAAGAAAACUUUUUUGCAGGGACUUGUUGAUUACAAUGAUCCACUUGGAGCUCCUCUCUGCCCCUGCAGGUGAUUAAUCACCUUUCUAUGGUAGCCCGCCGUCAGGAGCAGCAGUGGAUGGGUUAGAGCACUAGUCGAUAUAGACUUCUCUUGGAGCAAUACACCCGCUGCUCAGUCAAGUAAUCCGUCACCAUUGUUGUUAGACGAGCAUGGAAAUAUGCAUUAAUUUACCGAGCCCUAAGCUUGUCUUGACUAUUGACUAGGUGUAGUUAAGGACUCUAUGGGUUAGAUGAGUACAUGGUGAUGUUGUUGUGCUGCGUUAAUCUGCACAGUAGAAUGUGAGUUAUGUUUGAUCUUUGAGACCUUGAUGUUUCUAAUGUGAAAGCAUAUCUGGAUCCAUACAACUCUAGAUGACUAAUUGCA